AUUGAACGCUGGCGGCAUGCCUUACACAUGCAAGUCGAACGGCAGCGCGGGGCAACCUGGCGGCGAGUGGCGAACGGGUGAGUAAAAUAUCGGAACAUACCCUAGAGUGGGGGAUAACGUAGCGAAAGUUACGCUAAUACCGCAUACGCACUAAGGUGGAAAGUGGGGGAUCUUCGGACCUCAUGCUCAUGGAGUGGCCGAUAUCUGAUUAGCUAGUUGGUGAGGUAAAGGCUCACCAAGGCGACGAUCAGUAGCUGGUUUGAGAGAACGACCAGCCACACUGGAACUGAGACACGGUCCAGACUCCUACGGGAGGCAGCAGUGGGGAAUUUUGGACAAUGGGGGGCAACCCUGAUCCAGCAAUGCCGCGUGAGUGAAGAAGGCCUUCGGGUUGU
rnacentral:rRNA from 1 species